rnacentral:lncRNA from 1 species
UUUUUUUUUUUGGUACUGGCGAUCAAACUCGGGACCUUGCGCUUUUGAGGCAGGAGGCGGAACGACUGAGCUAAAUCCCUGGCCCAUGUAAUGGGUAUUCUUAUUUUCCACUCAACACUCAGCUUUGUGUUGGCCCUUACCCAGUGGAAAUUUUCCAGUAAUACAGAGAGGAAGCAGAAAGCGAGGCCUUGCCCAUUGUUCAGGCAAUGUGUGACAUUCUAGACUUAACCUGCACGUGUGACAUUUCUAGGUUUCUGACAAACAUGGAGAAUACCCUACACAGCGGUGACUCUCGGUACCAGCACGGUGGGGCCCUUCCCCAGUCCCUGUCACCCCGCAGGUCCCCGGAAGACCCCACAUUGACCACAGAUGGCUGGAACAAUCUCCUGCCACUUCCCCCAGGCAAGGCCCGAGUUAUUUCCAGUUUUCCCACACAAACACUGUCCUGGUCACUCCUACAUGAGCGUGCGGGAGUGACUGGGGACAGUGGGGCUGUGAGGAGUGCCAGGGCAAAUUAAAACAUUGCCACCUUACUGGAAAAUGUCCUCUUGUCAUCUGAGCGCUAACUGGUGCCCACACUCUUCCUGAAGGCCCAGGGAACACACACCCCGACCCCUGGCUUCGCCUGUCUGGUGAUGUCACCGCUGGACCAAGGGGGCCAGGGGGUGGCUACUGUGACAUCACAGGGCAGGCCUUGGGGGACAGUCUGCACUCCUCAUGGCUGUCGGCCUGUGGGAGGGGGCAGCACAGUGUCUCUCAGCUGGGGCAGCCAUGGGGAGAGGUUGGCUGGCUCAGCUGAGGUGGUGCCCCUGCUCUGAGCCAUGUGCGGGCCAAGUUCACCUCGAGCCAUGGCCAGAUACAGAUGCUGCUGCAGCCCAAGCCAGAGCAGAGGCUACCGUAGACGCAGCCACAGACCAAGGAGGCAAUGCCAUCCCAGACGGAGACAAAGGUGCAGCCGCCGUGGGUACACCCGGAGGGCCAGAAGACGCUAACUGCAGAAGAGCGAGGCCUCCGAACUCCUGCUGAAGACUUUGCCAGACCUCAAGACCGUCUUGCCACCUCUGACAAUGCCACCCUGCACUGAUACAGGAGCCUGCUAAGGAACAAUGCCGCCUGUCAAUAAAUGUCAAACUCAUCCCACUCAUGCCUUUGUCCUUGAUGGUUCGGUAGAGGGCUGGCCUGGAGGCGGAAGGGCUUGGCAAUGUGGCACAGUGGCACAGAAAGGAUGCUGGGAAGGGGGCCAUGAGAGUGACAGCUGUCACCGGGAUCCUGUCCAAAACUCAGUGACACGACAUGAGGAACAUCUGCUCCCAAACUGCCUACCUGUCUGACCCCUGGAGCUGGGUCAUCACCUUUGAGGGCCACUGUCCUUCCACCCUGUUCUGCGGCUGGCAGCUGGCAAUGAGCCACAGGGGAAGAUGCUCUAAGCAUCAGAGGGCCAUCAGGGCUUCCUUACCCCAAGGGUAUCUGGGGGUUCCCAGAGCUGGUUAAACAUCUGCCAGUCCCCAAAGUGUCACACAAGUUCAAUUCAAAGCUGAAAUCUCGACAGUUCCUUUGGUUAUACAGGGAACAAGACAGUCACCAUUAGAAUCAUGAAUUCAAGGUUUUCCUUCAUUCAGCAGCCCUCAUUUGUGUCCCCAUUGGAGAGCAGUGGUAACUUGGCCAGGCAGCAGGGGAGCUGCCCUGCCCAUUCAGUCCUCAAGUGCCUGCAGGAGGUUAAGCAUUGUGCCCAUGACACGAACUCACCCAUCAGAGCUGCCCGAACGAAUUCCCUUCCCACAGGAUGCUGCACACCA